GUGAGGAAUCUUCCACAAUGGGCGAAAGCCUGAUGGAGCAACGCCGCGUGAAGGAUGAAGGUCUUCGGAUUGUAAACUUCUUUUAUGAGUGAAGAAUAUGACGGUAACUCAUGAAUAAGCACCGGCUAACUACGUGCCAGCAGCCGCGGUCAUACGUAGGGUGCAAGCAUUAUCCGGAGUGACUGGGCGUAAAGAGUUGCGUAGGCGGUUAUGUAAGCGAAUAGUGAAACCUGGUGGCUCAACCACACAGACUAUUAUUCGAACUGCAUAACUCGAGAAUGGUAGAGGUAACAGGAAUUUCUUGUGUAGGAGUGAAAUCCGUAGAUAUAAGAAGGAACACCAAUGGCGUAGGCAGGUUACUGGGCCAUUUCUGACGCUAAGGCACGAAAGCGUGGGGAGCGAACCGGAUUAGAAACCCCUGUAGUCC
rnacentral:rRNA from 1 species